UACGUAGGGUGCGAGCGUUGUCCGGAAUUAUUGGGCGUAAAGAGCUUGUAGGCGGUCUGUUGCGUCCGCUGUGAAAACUCGGGGCUUAACCCCGAGCCUGCAGUGGAUACGGGCAGACUAGAGGUAGGUAGGGGAGAAUGGAAUUCCCGGUGUAGCGGUGAAAUGCGCAGAUAUCAGGAAGAACACCCGUGGCGAAGGCGGCUCUCUGGGACGGUACUGACGCUGAGACGCGAAAGCGUGGGGAGCAAACAGG
rnacentral:rRNA from 1 species